UGUCCUCCAUCCUCGAGCCUCGACUCUCCCUGGACUUUGGACUGCCUCCCUCGAUCCUCGACCCCCGCUUUGCACACGGCCCUCUUGACGCCUCUCUCAGCCCCACGGACCUACCGCUUGUCUCACGGACCUUCUUCUGCUUUGUCCCUCCUCUCGCCCAACACAUCACGGUUGUCCGUGAUGGCGUCUUCAUUGAUUUUGGACAGGAGCACCAUGUCAUCCACGCCGCUCACCUUCACAUUCUGGGCCAGCCAAUGAUAUUGCUCCUUGCUGCCCUGUGUGGGCGGGGCAAGCACAUUCGCUAUUUUAGAGGACAUGAUUACGCAUGCCAUUAUAGUUAAAAAGUUAAAGUUAAAGUACCACUGAUAGUCACACACACACACUAGAUGUGGUGAAAUUACCCUCUGCAUUUGACCCAUCCCCUUAUUCCACCCCCUGUGAGGUGAGGGGAGCAGUGAGCAGCAGCGGGGGCCGCGCUCGGGAAUCAUUUUGAUGGUUUAACCCCCAAUUCCAACCCUUGAUGCGGAGUGCCAAAUAGGGAGGUAAUGGGUCCCAUUUUUAUAGUCUUUGGUAUGAGUCGGUACCUGACUUGAUACUAACAAUCCUUCGGAGACACCCAUUUAGGCCGUGGCACCGUGACGACAAUUUUUGCUCGCCAGGACUUGAAACCGAGGGUAAAGUUCAAAAGAUCAAAGCAGGUGUCUAAGGUUUUUUGUUUUCUGAAUUAUCUAUGGCCCCCGGGAUAAUAUUUGAUUAGUAUUAGAACCGACCCGCAGGCCACAGCCGCCGGCUGAUGUUUUGCACGCACAAAUACUCCAUCAGUGUUGGCUCUAGGAAUUUUCAAAAUGGGGUCCUUGGGACCCCAUCAAGUCAUAAAAAUGGGGUCCCACAGUACAUUUUUGGGGUCCCACUUUUUUGUAAAUGUAUGCAUUAUCCUGUUAUAUCUCACAUUCUAUAUUGUGUUUUGGAAACAGGUUGUCAUAAACGUUACUUAAUUCAUAAAAAAACAAAUACAAAAGAAAACACAUUUUUAUACAUUCAUGCAUUUUAUUCAGUUAUAAACAUUCAUUCACUUUCUUCUUUCCUUCGUGCAUCUUAACUUUACUGCUGCCGAGUAUUUUUUUAAUAUAUUUUUAUUGUAAUAUUUUCAGAAUUAGUUUGUUCUAUUUUUGGCCAAAUUAAGACAAAGAAAACAAUCUGAAGUUUUUAGUUUUAAUGCCAUGAUAUUAAGCGUCCGGCCCCGUGUGUGCACAGAUUUUCCUCCAUGCGGCACAAAUACCCCAUCAAGUCAUAAAAAUGGGGUCCCACAGUAAAUUUUUGGGGUGCCACUUUUUUGUAACCAUUUUGAAAACAAACGAUAAACGUAUGCAUUAUCCUGUUAUAUCUCACAUUCUAUAUUGUGUUUUGGAAACAGGUUGUCAUAAACUUUACUUAAUUCAUUUAAAAAAUAAUAAUAGGAGAGAAAACACAUUUUUAUGCAUAUGUAAAUUGAUUCAGUUAUAAACAUUCAUUCACUUUCCUUCCUGCAUCUUCAUUUUACUGCUGCCGGGUAUUUGUUUCUAUAUUUUUAUUGUAAUAUUUUCAGAAUGUGUUUGUUCUAUUUUCAGCCAAAGUAAGACAAAGAAAACAAUCUGAAGUUUUUAGUUUUAUUGCCAUGGUUUUAAUCGUCCGGCCCCGCAUGUGCACAGAUUUUCCUCCACGCGGCCCCUGAGCUGAAUAAAGCAAAACACGUUCUAGAGCAAAAAUCACUUCAUAUUCUCUACUGCUCAGUAGUGUUACGAUAUCUGAGUUAUUGUGUAGAAAUAUGGGGAAACGGCUACACAUGGGCGCUUCAUUCACUGACUGUGUUACAAAAAAGAUCAAUUAGAAUAAUACAUAAUGUUGGAUAUAGAGAACACACAAACCCUUUUAUUUAUUAAAUCACAAUUAUUGAAAUUCAACGAUUUGGUGCAUUUGCAAACAGCUAAUAUUAUGUACAAAGCCAAUUGUAACCUGCUACCCAAGAAUGUACAACAAUUCUUCUCAACAAAAGAAGAGAAAUAUAACAUUAGAGGAAAAUCUCAUUUAAAACAUGUGUAUGCUCGUACAACACUUCAAACCUUUAUCAUAUCCAUUUUCUACCACUUGUCCCUUUUGGGGUCGUGGGGGGUGCUGGAGCCUAUCUCAGCUGCAUUCGGGCGGAAGGCGGGGUACACCCUGGACAAGUCGCCACCUCAUCGCAGGGCCAACACAGAUAGACAGACAACAUUCACACUCACAUUCACACACUAGGGCCAAAUUAGUAUUGCCAAUCAACCUAUCCCCAGGUGCAUGUCUUUGGAGGUGGGAGGAAGCCGGAGUACCUGGAGGGAACCCACGCAGUCACGGGGAGAACAUGCAAACUCCACACAGAAAGAUCCCGAGCCCGGGAUUGAACUCAGGACUACUCAGGACCUUUGUAUUAUUAGGCACAUGCACUAACCCAUGUCCCACCGUGCUGCAACCUUUAUCAUAUCAGUAUGUGGAAUUAAGUUAUGGAACGGAUUAACCAAAGAAAUCCAACAAAGCACCAACAUGAUUCAGUUUAAGAGACUGUUCAAACUACAAGUGUUCACAAAGUACACAGAACAAGAAUUAUGAUGAACAUCUUAAACCCUUUUUUUUUUUUUUUAUUGAGACAAAGAUUAUUUAUGUUGUGGAGGGGGCGUGGCCUGCGGACCUGCAGCGAAGCGGGGUGUGCCAGGGCCGGCUUCGAGAUCAGCGACAGGUGCGUAGAUGGCCCACCUGGGCCUGCUUAUCUAAUCACCUGUCGCUCUGUUAAAAGGCAGCAGCCGAGGAGGAGAGAGGAGUUGGAGUUGGAGCACGAGCGAGAGCGAGAAACAGAAAGACAAGCUGAAAGACAAUUGCUGAAAAGCACACGAAAGACAAUUUAUUGAAAAUAAACCUGUGUUCAAACCCUGAAAAGGAGCGGUCAUGUCGGUGAUUGGUGGUCCAGAGAACCCGGAGGGAAGAUACUUCCACAUAUGUAUUUAAUAUUUGUAUGCUUACUGUGGAAUGUUAUUUAUUUAUUAUUUAUUUGUUCACUGUUCUGUUACAGAGAACAAGGAAAUUGGAUGAAAUGGCUAUGGUAUGAAAAGGAGUAUAGGAUUAAAAAAGCUCCGCUUCUUCCUACUCCUUUUCGGACGGGCUGUAAUGAAACAACUGGAACUGUGUGAUGCAUUACAUUGUAUAGUGUGCAUGUUGGAAAUAAACUGAACUGAACUGAGCUAAAAUGAGUUUGACACCCCUGCCAUAAUGUCUUCAUAAUGUAUUCAUAAUGUCCUCAUAAUACUGUAUCUUCACAAUGAAUGUCAACACCAGAGGCGUGUCUCCUUCCUGAAAAUUCCCAGCAUUUCAAAGUCCUGUUGGGUCAUGUUAGUGGACAUGGAACUUUGCACACUGCGCAUGCGUGUGUCACAGCACUGGCGCUAACAUCAAGAGCUAGCAUAACUUUUUAUGUUGAUGUUUUGUGUUUGGUCGACAGCAGCUUUCUUUGUCCUGACAACAAACUUGUGUUCUGACUGUCACCAGAGACCGGGACCAGAAGGUCCACACCAAAACUAGGAACCGAGGUGGACGUUGAAACUCGAAGGCGAUCCACAAGAAAGCACAUCAGACAAAUCCUCUCCUGUACAUUUGAAUCCACAUGAGUUAAUCUCAGGUUCUGCCCGUACAGUCAGUGCAGGUUUCGAGCAGUGGUCUCCAGUCUCUACAGGUGUGGACAGGAUGAGAGAACGACACGUUGCUGUAUUGAUUUCGCUCACACAGGACGCCAUGUGAGGGCAGCACGGUGGAACAGGGGUUAGUGCAUCUGCCUCACAAUACGAAGGUCCUGAGUAGUCUUGGGUUCAAUCCCGGGCUCGGGAUCUUUCUGUGUUGAGUUUGCAUGUUCUCCCCGUGACUGCGUGGGUUCCCUCCGGGUACUC